rnacentral:rRNA from 1 species
GAUGAACGCUGGCGGCGUGCCUAAUACAUGCAAGUCGAGCGAACAGACGAGGAGCUUGCUCCUCUGACGUUAGCGGCGGACGGGUGAGUAACACGUGGAUAACCUACCUAUAAGACUGGGAUAACUUCGGGAAACCGGAGCUAAUACCGGAUAAUAUAUUGAACCGCAUGGUUCAAUAGUGAAAGACGGUUUUGCUGUCACUUAUAGAUGGAUCCGCGCCGCAUUAGCUAGUUGGUAAGGUAACGGCUUAGCAAGGCAACGAUGCGUAGCCGACCUGAGAGGGUGAUCGGCCACACUGGAACUGAGACACGGUCCAGACUCCUACGGGAGGCAGCAGUAGGGAAUCUUCCGCAAUGGGCGAAAGCCUGACGGAGCAACGCCGCGUGAGUGAUGAAGGUCCUCGGAUCGUAAAACUCUGUUAUUAGGGAAGAACAAAUGUGUAAGUAACUAUGCACGUCUUGACGGUACCUAAUCAGAAAGCCACGGCUAACUACGUG